rnacentral:pre_miRNA from 1 species
CCCAACGUUUGACAGUCCGUCUUAUUUAAAAAAAUUAUAAAAAUAAUUAAAAAGACAAGUCACGCAUAAAAUAUUAAUUAUGUUUUAUCAUCUAACAACAAUGAAAAUACGAAUUAUAAAAAAAUUUCAUAUAAGACGGACAGUCAAAGUUGGACACGGAAACCCAGAGUU